CAGUCGCCGCGGUAAUACAGAGGGUGCGAGCGUUAAUCGGAUUUACUGGGCGUAAAGCGUGCGUAGGCGGCUAAUUGAGUCGGAUGUGAAAUCCCCGAGCUUAACUUGGGAAUUGCGUUCGAUACUGGUUAGCUAGAGUGUGGGAGAGGAUGGUAGAAUUCCAGGUGUAGCGGUGAAAUGCGUAGAGAUCUGGAGGAAUACCGAUGGCGAAGGCAGCCAUCUGGCCUAACACUGACGCUGAGGUACGAAAGCAUGGGGAGCAAACAGGAUUAGAUACCCGCGUAGUCCCUGUCUCUUAUAC
rnacentral:rRNA from 1 species